CAUUAGAGAUCCUGUUAAAAAGAGGAAAAGACAAAGGUAUUUUAAAUGACAACGAAUAUAAGUUUUUAUUAGUUGAAUUCCCUAGAGUGCCUGUAUUUUAUACCCUGCCCAAGGUGCACAAAAAUUUAGAGAACCCUCCGGGUAGGCCGAUUGUGUCCGGUAUUGGAUCCAUUUCAGCUAACCUCUCAAAAUAUGUGGAUAUCUGGCUACAAAACCUAGUUAAGGAAAUGCCAUCAUAUCUUAAGGACACUACGGAUGUAAUUAAAAUUAUAAAAAAU